GCAGGGCGAUGGCGAUAGUUUGGACCUCGAGGACCUCUGGCAACGGUACAGAAUCGACGCCGUUGUGGAGCCCGAUAUGAGCUUGGAA
rnacentral:ribozyme from 14 species